rnacentral:rRNA from 1 species
UACGUAGGGACCGAGCGUUGUCCGGAUUCAUUGGGCGUAAAGAGCUCGUAGGCGGCUGCUCAAGUCGAAUGUGAAAACUCGAGGCUCAACCUCGAGCCUGCAUUCGAUACUGGGCGGCUAGAGUCUGGUAGGGGGAUCUGGAAUUCCUGGUGUAGCGGUGGAAUGCGCAGAUAUCAGGAGGAACACCAAUUGCGAAGGCAGCUCGCUGGGACGUAACUGACGCUGAGACGCGAAAGCGUGGGGAGCAAACAGG